rnacentral:rRNA from 1 species
UACGAAGGGUGCAAGCGUUACUCGGAAUCAUUGGGCGUAAAGCGCGCGUAGGCGGCCCGGUAAGUCCGUUGUGAAAGUCAAAGGCUCAACCUUUGAAAGCCGAUGGAUACUGCCGGGCUAGAGUCCGGAAGAGGCGAGUGGAAUUCCUGGUGUAGCGGUGGAAUGCGCAGAUAUCAGGAGGAACACCGAUAGCGAAGGCAGCUCGCUGGGACGGUACUGACGCUAAGGCGCGAAAGCGUGGGGAGCGAACAGG